GAUGAACGCUGGCGGCGUGCCUAACACAUGCAAGUCGAACGAAGCUCCCCGAAUUGAGUUUUCGGACAAGAGGAAGGGAUGACUUAGUGGCGGACGGGUGAGUAACGCGUGAGCAACCUGCCUCGGAGUGGGGGACAACAGUUGGAAACGACUGCUAAUACCGCAUAACGUGCAGAGGGGACAUCUCCUUUGCACCAAAGAUUUAUUGCUCUGAGAUGGGCUCACGUCUGAUUAGUUAGUUGGUAGGGUAACGGCCUACCAAGACUGCGAUCAGUAGCCGGACUGAGAGGUCGAACGGCCACAUUGGGACUGAGACACGGCCCAAACUCCUACGGGAGGCAGCAGUGGGGAAUAUUGCACAAUGGGCGAAAGCCUGAUGCAGCGACGCCGCGUGAGCGAAGAAGUAUUUCGGUAUGUAAAGCUCUAUCAGCAGGGAAGAAAAUGACGGUACCUGACUAAGAAGCCCCGGCUAACUACGUGCCAGCAGCCGCGGUAAUACGUAGGGGGCAAGCGUUAUCCGGAUUUACUGGGUGUAAAGGGAGCGUAGGCGGCAAGGCAAGU
rnacentral:rRNA from 1 species